rnacentral:lncRNA from 1 species
AAAUGAAACAAAUCUAGGAUUAUUUUGAAGGGAAUCUCUAAAUUAGUAGAAACAAAUAAAAUUAACAUAAAAUUCGCAAAAUAAAAAAUAAUAAUCAAAAAAUAAAAUAAAUGUGGAAAUAAAUCUAGGAUUAGUUUAGGAGAAUCUCUAAAUUAGUGGAAUCAAAUCUAGGAUUAUUUUUUGGAGAAUGAAAAUCUCUAAAUUAGUGAAAACAAAUCUAGGAUUAUUUUUAGAAGAAUAUACAAAUUAGUGGAAAAAAAUAAAAAUAACAUAAUUUUUGAAAAAAUAUAAAAAAAUAAAUCUCCGGAAAAAACUAACAUGAUUUUCGAAUAUAAAAUACAAAAUUUUAGAAAAAAAAUAUUUUCGAAACAAUAAAAAAAUAAUAUGUGGAAACAAAAAUAGGAUUAUUUUUAAGAGAAUCUUUAGUGAAAACAAAUAAAUAAAACAAAAUUUUGAAUAUAAAUAAAUAAUUUAAUCAUCAAGAAAAAUAAAUAAUAUUAAUUUCAGAAAAAAAAGCUGGAAACAAAUAUAGGAUUAUUUUAACAAGAAACAAAUAAUCAAAAGAAUUCCAAAAAUAAACUUCGAAUAUGAUUUAUAUAAUUUUUGAAAAUAAAAAAACCAAAAAAUAAGGAAACAAAAAAACAAUACAUAAG